rnacentral:rRNA from 1 species
AUUGAACGCUGGCGGCAUGCCUUACACAUGCAAGUCGAACGGCAGCACGGGAGCAAUCCUGGUGGCGAGUGGCGAACGGGUGAGUAAUAUAUCGGAACGUGCCCAGUCGGUGGGGAUAACGUAGCGAAAGCUACGCUAAUACCGCAUACGAUCUAUGGAUGAAAGGCGGGGGAUCGCAAGACCUCGCGCGAUUGGAGCGGCCGAUAUCAGAUUAGGUAGUUGGUGAGGUAAAGGCUCACCAAGCCGACGAUCUGUAGCUGGUCUGAGAGGACGACAGCCACACUGGGACUGAGACACGGCCCAGACUCCUACGGGAGGCAGCAGUGGGAAUUUUUGGACAAUGGGCGCAAGCCUGAUCCAGCCAUGCCGCGUGUGUG